AUCUGGUCAUUCUUCAUAAUCUCUGUUGGAAUAUAGGACAGAAAAGAGAAACCCAAACCAUCUUUUCCUUAACUGAAAACUCACUGCUAACAAAAAUGACUUGACAAUGAAUGGAGAACGUAGGCGAUUUUUACUGUGUCAUGUACAUAUACUGAUACUGUACACUUCUUCACCUCUGCAAGCAGUCUGCUCUUCGGUGCACCAACCUGUGCGUAUUGCUUUUAGUCUGUCUGUGAAAAUACAGACACAGUAAGCAGGAGACCCUCAAGUUCAGCUGAGACCAUCCAGGAGCUGCAUUUAGAUGCACACUUCUCUCUGCAUUCACAUGGAGUUGUGUUGCCUUUGAUGAGAAGUUCAAAACUUGUUCACUUUUCAGUCUUAAAACCAAGCCUAUCUACAAGUGCCUUGUGGAUCUGAGGGCAGAGAGCUGCAACUCUGCCAGCAAGAGUCUGUAACGGGAAUCCUGCCACCUUGAGCCCUUGACAAAGCAUUAGAGACCAGAAGACACAGCGGAGACCUCUCAUUUACACCUCUCCACUCAUCAUCCAGGAAGUCAAAUUGAUUAACUGGGAUUUGGAUGCAUCUGACAAGCUUGGCAAGCACAGAAGCCAAAUCUUUCCCAGAGGCACAUGAAUGGCUUCAGAGGAAGAAUACCGUGAACCUCUCUUUACUAUGUUCUCUUUGUUUGCUUAAGAAUAUGAACAAUUAAAGCUGAAGAGACAGGCAUUUCCUUUUUAUAUAGAAAAUUCACUGCCAAAUGCAGGGCCUGGGGAGCAAUUUUCCUCUUUCCAUUCAGUUCAUUUGUGCUAAUGAACAGGGUAUAAUCUAAAUGAAGAAAAAAAAAAAAAGUUACUCUGGUCACUGAUGUCGCUUGCUGAGACGGAGGAAAGCCUGACUCAGACCAGCCUAAACUGAGUUAUGGAAUUGAACCCUAAAAUCCUUCUGUUAUGAAAGUAGUCAUCUCUUGUCAACAUUGGAGACCUCAUAUGAGAGCACAGAUAAAUCUCUGGGCUAUUGCCAUCUGCUUAUUUUUACAGUCUAAGCUCUCCAAUUCUGAUUCAGGAACUAGUAUUUAUUUAUCUCAAAAAAGAAAAGGUGCAGAAACGGCUGUUACAGUUGCAUGGGGCUGUGAACAAAGAUAGGCCAAUAUUCUGCUUUGCCUGCAUUUGAAGUGAUGGUGAAUUGACAACCUCUCCAUGUGUGAGAAGCUCAUUGUCAGAAAAGAUAUGCUAAAGCUGCAGGUAGCUUUCAAGGCAGCUGCAGCUCUUCACCUCUCCUACUCAUGCCAGCCAGAGAUUUCUGCUCCAGCCAAUCAUCAGGACUGCAAUAAAGUGAUGGAAGUGGCCCACAUAGGCACCUGGAUACCUUCCUUACUGCAGCAAGCAGGGUGAGCACUUUAGAUCAUGACAUUCUUCUGCAAGGCUGCUCAGCAAGUGAUUUCCUUUCUUUUCUGUUUAGUAUAUGGUUGGGAUCCUACACACUGAAAAAGAGCUUGAAAAGAAGACUUCGAAAAGAAAGAAAGUGAUAUGUGAAUGUGUGGGCAAUAGAAAGAGCAAAAUAAAUACCAUUCUACAGCUUAAAAAUAUUAGUUUAUCUUUUCUUCUGAAAGACCAGAUGCCACAGACCUGGCAGCUGAUCUGCUCCACAGAGAGCGCUGUGCUCCAGGACCGACUAUUGGUCAGUAGUGGCUUACCAGCAGUCCUUAGCUUCCUGCAGCAAAGCUGUGAAAUAUCACAGCUUCUGAGCACUACAUUCACCCCAGGCUCCAAGCUGUUCCAGACUCAUCUGCAAUUACACCCACAGGAGAACUGCCUUGGUGGAGUGCUUGCUAGGACUGCACAGCCAAAGACUCAGCAAUCAAGUAGACUUCUUGUGCAAUAUGAAUCCAUGCUGUUUAUGUGUCUGUUUCAUGAUAAUCUUCAUCUAUGUAAUUCAGUACUAUCUCUCCAUUGGGACUUCUGCUGCUUCUCCACCAGAGCUGGAUAAUGUUUAUUUAAUGAACACUUUACACAGUUGCUUUCUGGAGAUGAGCUACCAGGUCAUGAUGGAGUUUCUACUGGUUGCUCUUCAAACUUGUUAGUCUUUUUUUAUUAUUAUUAUUAUUUUAUUUUUCCCAAAGUAUCUAGUUUUUAAAUAAAACCUGAGGCUCAAUCUGUAUGUAGAUCUCACUACUGGAUGUUAUCAUGGAGACCCUGGUCUGGUCUGGAGACAGACAAUAAAGAUUCAAAAUUUCAAAUCUAGAUUAAACACUAUUUUUUCUCCAGGUUAGCUCAUACCUACUUUUGAGAAAUCAAUGCAUUAAAAUGAAAAGCUGUUAAGUGUAAUUGUACUUCAAAGAACUUUAAAAUCAUUUCAAGAUAACGUCAACUCCAGUCCCUGGCAAGCAUUUGCAAAUUCCUCCCCUCCCACACACCUGGCAAAUGCCCGGCUGAACCAGUUUACCCUCCCUGGCCCAGGUGUAAUUCCUCACUGCUCACUUGCCCAUCAGACUGCUGGAACUGCUCUUCCAGAGAGUUUUGAUUGAUGACUGAGCUUGGGGGCUGUGAACAGUGCAGCUCUUGCAGCUCUGAAACGUUCACAAACUGGUAUUUUAUUCUCUUCCAGAAACACAACUAUAUUAUGAAAUCUUCUUCCUCUACCAAAUGCUGUGUAUUUUAUAAGAACAUAAUGUCAGCUUUGAUGUUGUUA